AUGUUUUGUCAUACCCUUGGUAUACGGUCUUACAUACUACGGAUUUCAGCCAAUCGGCAUUCAGGCUGGACUUGUUCUCUACAGGUCAUCCUGGCUCUGACAACAUUCCAGGUGCCGUUCUUCAUGUUGCGAUUCGGUCAGUCUAAACUCUAUCGAAGUGAGAACUACGGGAAGUCGUUCCAGGACGUCACAAACCUCAUCAACAACACUUUCAUCCGGACAGAGUUCGGCAUCGCCAUCGGACCAGAGAACUCUGGGAAGGUGAUCCUGACAGGUGAUGUGUCUGGCAGCCUGGGCUCUCGUAUCUUUAUCUCCAGAGACUUUGGGAACAGCUUUGAGCAGCAGGACCUUCCCUUCAACCCCCUGAUGCAGAUCAUAUACAACCCCAUAGACGCCAACGUUCUCCUGGUCAUCAGCAACACUAAUGAACUCUGGCUGUCUGAGGACUUUGGGGAGAAGUGGAGGAAGAUCCACGACAUGGUGUGUCUGGUAAAUAUGUUAAGAAUAGAGUUAGCAGAAGAACCCAUCCUUACAUGUCCUCAUGAGAGCCAGUUAACUCUAAUGAACUUAUCCUCUGCAGCAGAGGUAACUNNNNNNNNNNUUGGCCACGAGGAGUUCUAUUCUAUCUUGUCAGCCAAUGACGACAUGGUGUUCAUGCACGUGGAUGAACCAGGAGGUCAGUCAAUAGCCUAUACUGUGUUCUUUUUUUCCACAGAAUGUCACUCUAAAACGCUGGAUUAUAUCUAUAUGUCUCUCAGGAUAACCUCUGUCUCGUCGUUGUGUUUAUUUAUUUCUCCUCCAGACGGCUCGGUGCAGUCCGUGGUGUCCUUCGACCAGGGAGGGGAAUGGGUGCCCCUGCAGAAACCUGCCAACACCAAGUGUGACUCCACAGCCAAAGACCCCGACAAGUGCAGUCUCCACAUCCACGCAGCUUACAGCACGGCUAUGAAGCUGAACGUCCCCAUGCUGCCUCUCAGUGAACCAAACGCUGUAGGACUCAUCAUGGCUCACGGGAGUGUGGGCGAUGCCAUCUCUGUGAUGAAGCCUGACGUAUUCGUGUCAGAUGAUGGAGGUUACACCUGGCUACAGGCCCUGGAGGGACCUCACCACUAUGCCAUCCUGGACUCUGGUGGACUCCUGGUGGCCGUGGAGCACUCUGCUCAGCCCAUCAAAGACAUCAAGUUUUCCACAGACGAGGGCCAGUGCUGGCACGUUCACCAGUUCACUAGCGAUCCCAUCCACUUCACAGGGCUAGCGUCGGAGCCGGGGGCGAGGUCUAUGAACGUCAGUGUCUGGGGCUACAGAGACUCUCUGCUCAGUCAGUACUGGGUAUCAGUCACCAUCGACUUCAGAGAGCUGCUCACUAGAGACUGUGAGGACCAAGACUACGUGCAGUGGCUGGCGCACUCUGAUGACAUCAGCGACCCUAACGACGGCUGUAUGUUGGGUUACAAGGAGAAGUUCCUGCGUCUGAGGAAGGCCUCUGUCUGCUUGAACGGACGGGACUAUGAGGUCAACAAGCAACCCGCCCCUUGUCCCUGCACCCUGGAUGACUUUCUGUGUGACUUUGGGUACUAUCGUAAAGAGAACAGCUCCGAGUGUGUGGAGCAGCCUGACCUGAAGGGCCACGUUCUGGAGUUCUGUCUGCAAGGCAAGAAGGAGCUGCUGCAGACCAGAGGCUAUAGGAAGAUCCCUGGGGAUAAGUGUGAGGGAGGAACACAGCCGGAGAGAAAAGAGAUAGACCUCAGUAAGAGGUGUGUCAAUGACCUACUGGGACCUCAGGAACUACUGGUGAGUAGAGAUGACCACGCCACUGUUCUGAUCAUUAUCCUGCUCAGUGUCGUGGCCGGGUUCCUCUUUGUCAAGAAGUACGUCUGUGGUGGAAGGUUCCUGGUACACAGGUACUCUGUCCUACAGCAGCAUGCUGAGGCCCAGGGAGACGGAGUAGACGAGCCAUUAGACAGCAACCACACUCGGGCUAGCAACAAGACCGGCUUACACGAUUCAGACGAGGUAAUGGUACAAACACACAAACGUUUUUUUUGUAUGGCCUCCGCACUUAUUAUAAAUAUACAAUUUACCUCAAUCCCUUGGUGA
rnacentral:lncRNA from 13 species